rnacentral:pre_miRNA from 1 species
GCAUUGUGUGCGUGUGAUUUGUGGCAAUGCGAUUUGCUUUGGAUUCCAUCCCCUUGUUGCAAACCUCACGCUCAAAGUGC